rnacentral:rRNA from 1 species
AUGAUGAUGGACCUGGGCGCCGCGCGCGCGACGCCGCCGUCGGCGCAGGAGGCGGCCGAGGCCGCCGUGCGCGCGGUCGGCUGCGGCUACGACCUCGCCGACGACCUGCGCCUCUUCCGCGCCAAGGACCGGCUGCUCGACCUCGGCGGCGGGGGCGCGGGCGGCGAGCGGGACCUGUGCCUGCCGGGCGGGGCCGUGGUGGCCGGCGCGCCCGCGGGGGUCGUCGCCGACAAGGGCGAGCGCGCGCGGUUCCGCUCCGACGUGCUGUCCUUCGCGCAGAUGGCGGAGCACGUGAACCAGUCGCUGUCGCUCACGGGCAAGAUCCCCUCGGGCCCCUUCAACGCCAUGUUCGACUACCGCGGCUGCUGGCACCGGGACGCCGCCGCCACGCGCAGCCUCUGCUUCGACGCCCGCCUCGUCGAGCUCUACGCCGUCGAGGCCCCCCGCGGCGCGCGCCUCGCCCUCCGCGGCCACGUCGCCCGCGACGUCCCGACCUCCUGGGACCCCCCGGCGCUCGCCGCCUUCAUCGACACGCACGGCACCCACGUCGUCGUCGGGGUCCGGAUGGGGGGCAAGGACGUCGUCUGCGUCAAGCAGCUCAGGGGCUCCGCCCUCGAGCCGCGCGACGUGCAGGCCCGCCUCAAGAAGCUCGCCGACGCCACCUUCUCCCAGUCCCAGUCGCAGGACCGACGGCAGAGCUCCGCCGGCGCCAAGGGCCGCGGGUCGUCGUCGCGGAGACCUCCCGGCCCCGGCUCCGCUGCCUGGCGCGCCUUCAGGUCGCCGGUCAUCCACAACAAGGACGAUGUCGUCGGCAUCCACGUCAGGCGAGGCGGCGUCGACGACGGGCAGGGCCACGACGAGUGGCUCGCCACCGUCGCCGCCUCGCCGGACGUCAUCUCCAUGGCCUUCGUGCCCAUCACCUCCCUGCUCACCGGCGUCCCCGGCCGCGGCUUCCUCAACCACGCCGUCAAUCUCUACCUCAGAUACAAGCCGCCCAUAGAGGAGCUGGAGCAGUUCCUGGAGUUCCAGGUGCCGCGGCAGUGGGCGCCGGAGUUCGGCGAGCUGCCGCUGGCUCUCGGCCCGCAGAGGAAGAAGAAGAAGGACAGCCUGCCGUCGCUCCAGUUCACGCUCAUGGGGCCCAAGCUCCGGGUCAACACGGCCAAGGUGGACUCCGGGGGGCGGCCGGUGACGGGCAUCCGGCUGUUCCUGGAGGGCAAGAAGAACAGCCGGCUGGGCGUGCACCUGCAGCACCUGUCGGCGACGCCGCGCGCGGUCCCCAUCGUCGUCGGCGAGGCGGUCACCACCGCCGCCGGGUACGCCGUGAACGAGCGCGCCUACUUCGAGCCCGUGAGGUCGUCGCUGCUGACGCACGCGUGCACGGCGCCGGUGCAGCACGCCGGCGCGCGCAUCGACGACUGCGCGGCCGUGGUGACCGCGGCCUGGCUGGAGGUGCGCGAGGCGUGCCUCAAGAAGGUGCUGUUCCUACGUCUCGGCUUCUCCGGCGUGGCGCGGACCAAGAUACGGCGGUCGGAGUGGGACGGCCCGCUGGCCACGACCCGCAAGUCGGGCUCGCUGUCGGCGAUGCUCAGCGCGGCGCUGUCGGGCACCGCCGCCGCCGUGCCGCCGCAGGGGGAGCCGAUGGAGGGGAAGGUGGAGGUGAACUCGGCCGUGUUCCCCAAGGGCCCGCCGGUGCCGCUGCCCGUGCAGAAGAUGGCGAAGUACAUCGACACGACGGAGGUGACGAGGGGCCCCGACGACCUGCCGGGGUACUGGGUGGUCACCGGCGCCAAGCUCUGCGUGGAAGGCGGCAAGGUGGCGCUCAAGGCCAAGUACUCGCUGCUCAUCUCGGCGCCGGAGGACGACGAGGUUUGA